UACGGGGGGGGCAAGCGUUGUUCGGAAUUACUGGGCGUAAAGGGCUCGUAGGUGGCCAACUAAGUCAGACGUGAAAUCCCCAGGCUCAACUUGGGAACUGCGUCUGAUACUGGAUGGCUUGAAUUCGGGAGAGGGAUGCAGAAUUCCAGGUGUAGCGGUGAAAUGCGUAGAUAUCCGGAGGAACACCAGUGGCGAAGGCGACUUUCUGGCCUGUUCUUGACGCUGAGGCGCGAAAGCUAGGGGAGCAAACGGG
rnacentral:rRNA from 1 species